GUGGACACAAAUUAACCCAGAUAAUUAAUUACUUUUCUUUAUUUAGAAGAUCAUGUGACUACAAAAUCCCACUUGCUAUUUGCACCAUGGGGCAAUUGGGUGUUCGUCUUUCUCACUUUCUCAACGCAUAUAUAAUGUGAGCUACUAGUAAGUUGUGAGCUGUGGUGCUGAUAAUAAGCUCUGAGGACUGAGCCAUGAAGCCUUUCUACUUGAGUUGCUUUAUCUUAGCUUUGCUUCUCUUGACCUCCUCGGCGGAGAUGAUGGAAGUGAUGAGAGAUAACAAUGGAAGGUGUGCCGCAGUAUUGGACCCUGACGGAUGCAAUCUUUCAUCUUGCAGGCAACGCUGUCUUCAGCAGAAGAAUGGGAAUGGUGUUUGUCUGGCCAAUUUGAAGGGGGGGAGUUACCAAUGUGUUUGUUAUGUAAAUUGUUAAUGAAGCUGCUUCCUGUUGGGAUUGGAACGAAGCUCCUAAAGUUAAUUAGCACGGAUUAACGUUUGCAAAAGAAGCAUUUUCAUUACAAGCUAGUGUUGCACGAAUGUUUUGUUGUCUUUCAAUGUCUUCGACAAUUGUAUUCUUGCAAAGUAAGGGAAGCGAGGUCUUUGAGUUCAA